rnacentral:tRNA from 1 species
CGGGGUGUGGCGCAGUUGGAUUAGCGCGCUGCGUUUGGGACGCAGAGGCCGGAGGUUCAAGUCCUCUCACCCCGACCA